CACUAGGACAUGAUAACAGUAUAGUGAAGGCAGAGUGAAACACUAGGACAUUAACAGUAUAGUGAAGGUAGAAUGAGACACUAGGACAUGAUAACAGUAUAGUGAAGGUGAAACACUAGGACAUGAUAACAGUAUAGUGAAGGUAGAGUGAAACACUAGGACAUGAUAACAGUAUAGUGAAGGCAGAGUGAAACACUAGGACAUGAUAACAGUAUAGUGAAGGCAGAGUGAAACACUAGGACAUGAUAACAGUAUAGUGAAGGCAGAGAGAAACACUAGGACAUGAUAACAGUAUAGUGAAGGCAGAGUGAAACACUAGGACAUGAUAACAGUAUAGUGAAGGCAGAGUGAAACACUAGGACAUGAUAACAGUAUAGUGAAGGUAGAGUGAAACACUAGGACAUGAUAACAGUAUAGUGAAGGCAGAGUGAAACACUAGGACAUGAUAACAGUAUAGUGAAGGUAGAGUGAAACACUAGGACAUGAUAACAGUAUAGUGAAGGUAAAGCAGAGUGAGACACUAGGACAUGAUAACAGUAUAGUGAAGGUAAAGCAGAGUGAAACACUAGGACAUGAUAACAGUAUAGUGAAGGUAGAGUGAAACACUAGGACAUGAUAACAGUAUAGUGAAGGUAGAGUGAAACACUAGGACAUGAUAACAGUAUAGUGAAGGCAGAGUGAAACACUAGGACAUGAUAACAGUAUAGUGAAGGCAGAGUGAAACACUAGGACAUGAUAACAGUAUAGUGAAGGUAAAGCAGAGUGAGACACUAGGACAUGAUAACAGUAUAGUGAAGGUAAAGCAGAGUGAAACACUAGGACAUGAUAACAGUAUAGUGAAGGCAGAGUGAAACACUAGGACAUGAUAACAGUAUAGUGAAGGUAGAGUGAAACACUAGGACAUGAUAACAGUAUAGUGAAGGCAGAGUGAAACACUAGGACAUGAUAACAGUAUAGUGAAGGUAAAGCAGAGUGAAACACUAGGACAUGAUAACAGUAUAGUGAAGGCAGACUGAAACACUAGGACAUGAUAACAGUAUAGUGAAGGCAGAGUGAAACACUAGGACAUGAUAACAGUAUAGUGAAGGCAGAGUGAAACACUAGGACAUGAUAACAGUAUAGUGAAGGCAGAAUGAAACACUAGGACAUGAUAACAGUAUAGUGAAGGUAAAGCAGAGUGAAACACUAGGACAUGAUAACAGUAUAGUGAAGGCAGACUGAAACACUAGGACAUGAUAACAGUAUAGUGAAGGCAGAGUGAAACACUAGGACAUGAUAACAGUAUAGUGAAGGCAGAGUGAAACACUAGGACAUGAUAACAGUAUAGUGAAGGCAGACUGAAACACUAGGACAUGAUAACAGUAUAGUGAAGGUAAAGCAGAGUGAAACACUAGGACAUGAUAACAGUAUAGUGAAGGCAGAGUGAAACACUAGGACAUGAUAACAGUAUAGUGAAGGCAGACUGAAACACUAGGACAUGAUAACAGUAUAGUGAAGGCAGACUGAACCACUAGGACAUGAUAACAGUAUAGUGAAGGUGAAACACUAGGACAUGAUAACAGUAUAGUGAAGGCAGAAUGAAACACUAGGACAUGAUAACAGUAUAGUGAAGGUAAAGCAGAGUGAAACACUAGGACAUGAUAACAGUAUAGUGAAGGCAGAGUGAAACACUAGGACAUGAUAACAGUAUAGUGAAGGCAGAGUGAAACACUAGGACAUGAUAACAGUAUAGUGAAGGUGAAACACUAGGACAUGAUAACAGUAUAGUGAAGGCAGACUGAAACACUAGGACAUGAUAACAGUAUAGUGAAGGUGAAACACUAGGACAUGAUAACAGUAUAGUGAAGGCAGAGUGAAACACUAGGACAUGAUAACAGUAUAGUGAAGGUGAAACACUAGGACAUGAUAACAGUAUAGUGAAGGCAGAGUGAAACACUAGGACAUGAUAACAGUAUAGUGAAGGCAGACUGAAACACUAGGACAUGAUAACAGUAUAGUGAAGGCAGACUGAAACACUAGGACAUGAUAACAGUAUAGUGAAGGUAAAGCAGAGUGAAACACUAGGACAUGAUAACAGUAUAGUGAAGGCAGACUGAAACACUAGGACAUGAUAACAGUAUAGUGAAGGUAAAGCAGAGUGAAACACUAGGACAUGAUAACAGUAUAGUGAAGGUAAAGCAGAGUGAAACACUAGGACAUGAUAACAGUAUAGUGAAGGCAGAGUGAAACACUAGGACAUGAUAACAGUAUAGUGAAGGCAGACUGAAACACUAGGACAUGAUAACAAUAUAGUGAAGGCAGAGUGAAACACUAGGACAUGAUAACAGUAUAGUGAAGGUAGAGUGAAACACUAGGACAUGAU